CAUAUGAACUUUAUUAUUUAAACUUAGUAUUUUAAAUAUAAAACAAUAAUUCAUACGUCCUCAUUCAUACAUCGUAAUACAUACAUCGUAAUUUCAUUGAAUGCAUACAUAUAAACAUCGUAAUUCAUAAAUUGCAAUUUCAUUUAAUUUAACUUGAAUGUAUAUUUAAUUUAAUUUAGACACCCCACAUCACUUUUUCUUUUUUUAUGGCCCAAUAAGCUGCCCAAAGUUUUUACUCUCUGCAGCCCUUAUUUAAUUUACACACCCGACAUCACUUUUUUCUAAUUUCUGGCCCAAUAUGCUUCCCAAAGUUUUUACUCUCUGCAGCCUUUAUUUAAUUUACACACCCCACAUCACUUUUUCUAAUUUUAUGGCCCAAUAAGCUGCCCAAAGUUUUUACUCUCUGUAGCCUUUAUUUAAUUUAGACACCCCACAUCACUUUUUUCUAAUUUUCUGGCCCAAUAUGCUUCCCAAAGUUUUUACUCUCUGCAGCCUUUAUUUAAUUUACACACCCCACAUCACUUUUUUCUAAUUUUCUGGGCCCAAUAUGCUGCCCAAAGUUUUUACUCUCUGCAGCCUUUAUUUAAUUUAGACACCCCACAUCACUUUUUCUAAUUUUAUGGCCCAAUAAGCUGCCCAAAGUUUUUACUCUCUGCAGCCCUUAUUUAAUUUACACACCCCACAUCACUUUUUUCUAUUUUUCUGGCCCAAUAUGCUUCCCAAAGUUUUUACUCUCUGCAGCCUUUAUUUAAUUUACACACCCCACAUCACUUUUUUCUAAUUUUCUGGCCCAAUAUGCUGCCCAAAGUUUUCACUCACUGCAGCCUUUAUUUAAUUUAGACACCCCAACAUCACUUUUUCUAAUUUUAUGGCCCAAUAAGCUGCCCAAAGUUUUUACUCUCUGCAGCCUUUAUUUAAUUUAGACACCCCACAUCACUUUUUUUAAUUUUAUGGCCCAAUAAGCUGCCCAAAGUUUUUACUCUCUGCAGCCUUUAUUUAAUUUAGACACCCCACAUAACUUUUCUAAUUUUAUGGCCCAAUAAGCUUUCCAAAGUUUUUACUCUCUGCAGCCCUUAUUCAAUUUACACAACCCAUAUCACUUUUUUCUAAUUUUCU
rnacentral:lncRNA from 1 species